GACGAACGCUGGCGGCGUGCUUAACACAUGCCAGUCGAACGGAAAGGCCCUGCUUUUGUGGGGUGCUCGAGUGGCGAACGGGUGAGUAACACGUGAGUAACCUGCCCUUGACUUUGGGAUAACUUCAGGAAACUGGGGCUAAUACCGGAUAGGAGCUCCUGCUGCAUGGUGGGGGUUGGAAAGUUUCGGCGGUUGGGGAUGGACUCGCGGCUUAUCAGCUUGUUGGUGGGGUAGUGGCUUACCAAGGCUUUGACGGGUAGCCGGCCUGAGAGGGUGACCGGCCACAUUGGGACUGAGAGACGGCCCAGACUCCUACGGGAGGCAGCAGUGGGGAAUCUUGCACAAUGGGCGGAAGCCUGAUGCAGCAACGCCGCGUGCGGGAUGACGGCCUUCGGGUUGUAAACCGCUUUCGCCUGUGACGAAGCGUGAGUGACGGUAAUGGGUAAAGAAGCACCGGCUAACUACGUG
rnacentral:rRNA from 1 species